rnacentral:rRNA from 1 species
GAUGAACGCUGGCGGCGUGCCUCAAACAUGCAAGUCGAGCGAGGCUAUGAAUUACCGCAAGGUAAGGCAUAGCCUUAGCGGCGAACGGGUGAGUAACACGUGGGUAACCUACCUGGAAGACAGGGAUAACGAUUCGAAAGGGUCGCUAAUACCUGAUAAUAUCCAUCUGCCGGAUGGCGGAGGGAAGAAAGGGGAAACCCGCUUUCAGACUCGGGCCCGCGUCCCAUCAGCUAGUUGGUAAGGUAAAGGCUUACCAAGGCGACGACGGGUAGCCGGUCUGAGAGGAUGUACGGCCACACUGGGACUGAGAUACGGCCCAGACUCCGUACGGGAGGCAGCAGUUGGGAAUCUUAGGCAAUGGACGAAAGUCUGACCUAGCGACGCCGCGUGAGGGAAGAAGGCCUUCGGGUUGUAAACCUCUGUCAUGGGGGAAGAAGGAAGUGACGGUACCCCAAGAGGAAGCCCCUGCUAACUACGUGCCAGCAGCCGCGGUAAACGCGAGAGUA